ensembl:lincRNA
GCUUUGUGAAUUUAUUCUAUAUACAGUUUGUCAUACUUGCACAAAACAGUGGACCGACUGAAUGAAAAUAAUCUAAACUUCAAAUCUAAGCAUCUUAAAAACCAUCUAAUCUGUUCUGAAGACAGUUAGGUUAUUUAAGAUACUUUAAUAAAACCUUCCACACUUAUUUCUGUAUUUCGGAUUGUCUUCCUGUUAUGAACACUGGUGCUGAUUCAUGUGAAAUCUUUUACAAUUAAAGAAAGACAAAGCUCUUAAUUUACCGGUCAAUCUACUUUCCUACUCUCACCUAUGGUCAUAAGCUUUGGGUUAUGACUGAAAGGACAAGAUCUCAGUUACAAGCGGCCGAAAUGAGUUUACCUCACAGGGUGGCAGGGCGCACCCUUAUAGGUGAGGAGCUCUUUCACCUGGGAGGAGCUCGGAGUAGAGCCUCCUCCACAUCGAGAGAAGUCAGCUGAGUUGGCGCAGGCAUCUGUUUAGGAUGCCUCCUGGACGCCUACCUAGGAAGGUAUUCCAGGCAUGUCCCACCAGCAGGAGGCCUCGGGAAAGACCCAGGACAGGAUGGAGGGACUAUAUCUCUCGUCUGACCUAGGAACGCCUUAGGAUUCCCCUGGAGGAGCUGGAGGAAGUGUCUGGGGAGAAGGAAGUCUGUGGUUCUGACUACCCCCGCGACCCGGCCCUGGAAAAGCGGCAGAUAAUAAAUGAAUGAAUAAAUAAACGAAUAGAAACAUAUUUUCACAAAUGAAGGCAAACAUUUUAGUGACAUCUUAUGAAAUGUAAAUUGCUUCAUGGCAAAAGAAUGUUUCUGUUUUCCUUCAGGUCCUGUGGUAGGCGAGUUUCUUCCAGCUCUCCUGCCUCUGUUGAAGAGCUGUGUUGACCCCAGCCGAGAGCCUGAGAUGAGGCUGCACAUCUUCACCAUGCUGUCCAAACUACUGCUGGACGCCAAAAACACACUGGACUCACAGGGGCAGUUUGGUGAACACAUGGAGAUGGUCCUGCAGGAUUUGUUGAUGCCCAAUCUGGUGUGGCGUUCAGGUCGAUCAGCUGCAGCUGUCAGAACCGCUGCUCUCAGCUGUCUGUUAGCUGUCCUACAUGGAGAGGCUUUCCCAGCAGAGAGAGUGGUGUCAGCGGUGGACUCUCUCUCCUCUCUGCUGAUCUCUGCACUGGAGGAAGACUCAAAACUGGCUCGUCUUCUGGCCUGUAGAUCUCUGACCUCCCUGCUGAAGAUCACAGCUCAGCAGAUCAGCACUGACAAGCUCAACCAAGUCUAUCCAGAGCUGCUGAAGCGUGUGGAUGACAGCAGUGAAGACGUGCGUGUGGAGGCUCUCAAGUCUCUGAGUGUGUGGUUCUGCUCUUUGGGGAAAAACUAUGACAUGCAGUCCAACCGUCCACACCUGGAGCUCCUGUUCCAGCAGCUGCUGCUCUACAUGGAUGAUCCUGACACCACAGUCCAGAACACAGUGCUCGGUGUUCUGAAGGUGGCGAGUGCAGUGGAUGGAGAUCUGUUACAGCAGCAGACAGAGAGUGUGAGAGAGAAACAGCGCAGCCCAGAGUACUGUGACAAACUCCUGCAGCACAUACACUCAUUAUGACAAUCAAGCCCUAAACACACACACAAAGACACUCACACACGCACAAAACUCCAGACAUGCACACACACUUACUGUGUACAUUCAGACAAUUUGUGAAUGGGCAAAAUCUAAGUGUAUUUUCACCUUUGCUCUUUUAUUAUUGGUGAACUUUUAUUAAAGUAAAUGUUAUAUAUAUGAAAACAGUAAACAUCAUACAUUUUAUAAUUAAUAUACCCAAAUUGCUCAUAAAAACAUUGACUGUAGUUGUCUCCCAGAUUUGAAGAUGAACUUAUUUAAAAUGUGCCUUUUCUUUUUGCCGUCGACACCUUUAUUAUUCAUUGAACUUACGAUUGUUAAUAAAUAAAUUCGUUUAUUAAACUUUUUUUUUCACAUUUCUGUUUUCAGCGGAUGCUUUCUUGCCACAGAAACAUGUCAAGAAUACAUUCAUAAAUAACAAUACUAUCAUCAUAGUAAUUACUAAAGGCAUAUAAGAGGAAUAGUUCACACAAAAAUGACAAUUUGCAGAUUUAUUCAUUCAUUUUUGCGUACUAUCCCUUUAAGUAUUCUCCAUAAACUACAUUAGUUAGCACAAAAUGCUAGUUAAUCAAUACUGUUUGUUCCCUUCAUACACUACCUGACAAAAGUCUUGUCGCCUAUCCAAGUUUUAGGAACAACAAAUAACAAUUUGACUUCUAGUUGAUCAUUUGGGAUCAGAAGUGGCUUAAAUGAAAGGUAAAGGCGUCUAUUUUACCAAAAUAAAAUAUGAUCAUGUCUUGAUUUUUAAUUAUUUAAUUAGGACAGUAAGCUCUGUAAGUAAGUCCUGUCUCUUAAAAGAAAUAAUGUACAGUAUAGAAUAUAAAGUCAUGCUGCAGUGGAAAAAGAAUGAAUAUUGUGUAUGACCCCCCUGAGCUUGGAGGACUGCAUCCAUACAUCUCUGCAAUGACUUAAAUCACUUACUAAUAAAGUCAUCUGAAGUCGUUCUUGCAGGACUCCCAGAGUUCAUCAAGAUUCAUCUUCAAUGCCUCUUUCUUCAUCUUACCCUAGACAUGCUCAAUAUGUUCAUGUCUGCUGACUGGGCUGGCCAAUCCUGGAGCACCUUGACCUUCUUUGCUUUCAGGAACUUUGAUAUGGAGGCUGAAGUAUGAGAAGGAGCGCUAUCCUGCUGGAGAAUUUACCGUCUGCAGUGGUUUGUAAUGUAAUGGGCAGCACAAAUGUCUUGAUGCCUCAGGCUUGUGAUGUUGCCAUCCAUUCUGCAGAUCUCUUGCACGCCCCCAUACUGAAUGUGACCCCAAACCAUGAAUUUUCCUUCACCAAACUUGACUGAUUUCUUUGAGAAUCUUGGCUCCAUGCUGGUUCCAGUAGGUCUUCUGCAGUAUUUGUGAUGAUUAAGAUGCAGUACAACAGAUGAUUCAUGGAAAAAAUCAACCUUCUGCCACUUUUCCAAAUGAUCAACUAGAAGUCAAGUUAUUAUCUGUUGCUCUUACAACUGAGAUCGACGACAAGACUUUUGUCAGGUAGCGUAGACAGUAAUGUUCUGGCAGUAUUUUGAUAUAAUUAUGGAUUAUAAUGUUUUGUAUCCUAUAUGAAAUAUUAUCCAGAUCUAUUUCUUGAUUAAAUGCAGUAUGAUGCAUUAGAAGCAGGAAGAACUAGAUAUUGAUGACAUUUAAUAAUGGUGAUGAUUGGACGAGAUGCCGGGCCGGGGGAAUUUUUUUAGAAGUUUGUCUAAGUUCAUCACAAUAUUAAUUUCCAUGUUGGGUUGAUGCGGGGUCAGCCUAGUGAAUGCUGUUUCUUCAACCUCUCCGAAUGCUGAACUCUCUCCUCUGGAGUCUUUUUGUAGCUCCUGAAACACAGAAACACUUUUAUUUUGUAUAUUUUCUUUUGUGAAUUGAAUUUCUAUUGUGAUUUCUAUCUGUG